ACAUGACAUGAAUGAUCAAAAAAAAAUUGAUUAUGAUAGCUUGAGCACGAAUAUUAUAAACGAUUUCUGCUCCAUUGGUUGUCGAUAGUGUUCGAGUGACUUACUCAUUCGUUGAGUUCGUCCAUAUGAUGAAGAAAAAAUUUUUUUUUUUAAGUUUAUUUUUCGAAUCGAACAUUCUUCAGUUGAAUUGGAGACUUUAUGGUCAUGCCCAAAAGAUGUAGCCACGUCGGGACACCCCCUCCCAACCUCUUUUUGUUUUAUCUAAAAAAAAAAAAAAACCUAUACACAAUACAUUCGAGAAGGCUGUUGUUUGGUAAGUGAAAAUAUGAAUGCUAAUUACUCAACAAAAAUAAUCACAGAAUCAAGCCAACAUGUAUGCUAAUCUAUGAUGAGUCACCCAUGUUUAAUAUUCAGGAAAGG
rnacentral:lncRNA from 1 species